rnacentral:rRNA from 1 species
GACGAACGCUGGCGGCGUGCCUAAUACAUGCAAGUCGAGCGGACUGAUUAAGAGCUUGCUCUUAUGACGUUAGCGGCGGACGGGUGAGUAACACGUGGGCAACCUGCCCUGUAGAUCGGGAUAACACCGAGAAAUCGGUGCUAAUACCGGGUAAUAUCUGAGAUCACAUGAUCUUAGGUUAAAAGAUGGCUCCGGCUAUCACUACAGGAUGGGCCCGCGGCGCAUUAGCUAGUUGGUAAGGUAAUGGCUUACCAAGGCGACGAUGCGUAACCGACCUGAGAGGGUGAUCGGCCACACUGGGACUGAGACACGGCCCAGACUCCUACGGGAGGCAGCAGUAGGGAAUCUUCCGCAAUGGACGAAAGUCUGACGGAGCAACGCCGCGUGAGUGAUGAAGGGUUUCGGCUCGUAAAGCUCUGUUGUUAGGGAAGAAACAGUACCGAACGAACUAGGUCGGUACCUUGACGGUACCUAACCAGAAAGCCACGGCUAACUACGUG